rnacentral:rRNA from 1 species
UACGGAAUGUGCAAACGUUAUUCGGAAUCACUGGGCUUAAAGAGUCCGUAGGCGGCAUGUUAGGUGAGGUGUGAAAUCCCCCGGCUCAACCGAGGAAUUGCGCUUCAAACCGGCGUGCUUGAGGAAGAUAGAGGUGGGCGGAACUGAUGGUGGAGCGGUGAAAUGCGCAGAUAUCAGGAGGAACACCGGUGGCGAAGGCGGGGUCUCUGGGCAAUAACUGACGCUGAGGCGCGACAGCGUGGGGAGCAAACAGG